UAGAGGUUAUUUUGGCAAUUUCGGAGGAAAGAAUUUAAUGUUUCGACAGUUUGCCAGAAUGGGCGGGAGGGGAGGAGAGGGAUGGAGGGAAACUCCGUUUAAAAUAGAUUUCCCUCUCAUCGAUUCCCUCGCUUCCCGUGGAACGAUUCCGCUUUGUCCCAUUGAAAACAGGAAGUUGGCGUAUUAACGAUCAAAGGGGCCGGAGAAUCGGCCCCUGAAAACGUCGAACGGAGGGAGGAAGGGGGGAAACGUUUCUUUCAUUCGCAGCACGGCUAAAUGUUUGGUAAUCCGUUGGUUAUCACUCGAGGUGGGGAAUUAGCGUUAAUGACAUUAAAAUAUCGGACAACCGAUAUUACUCGUUAAAAAGUUUCGAUUAAAAUAAAAUCCUUUUAACGGGGACGAAUAGACGCGGCCAGUUUCCAACCUCGUCUCUCGUUCAGAGAAAACCGUUUGUCCUUACGUUUAGCCUG